rnacentral:rRNA from 1 species
AGAGUUUGAUCCUGGCUCAGGAUGAACGCUGGCGGCGUGCCUAACACAUGCAAGUCGAGCGAGAAACCAUCGAUUGAAACUUCGGUAGAUAUUGAAGGCGGAAAGCGGCGGACGGGUGAGUAACGCGUAGGCAACCUGCCCUUUGCAGAGGGAUAGCAACGGGAAACUGUUAUUAAAACCUCAUAAUACCGACAUGUCUAAUGAUGAAACGGUCAAAGAUUUAUCGGCAAAGGAUGGGCCUGCGUCUGAUUAGUUAGUUGGUAGGGUAACGGCCUACCAAGGCAGCGAUCAGUAGCCGACCUGAGAGGGUGAUCGGCCACAUUGGAACUGAGACACGGUCCAAACUCCUACGGGAGGCAGCAGUGGGGAAUAUUGCACAAUGGGCGAAAGCCUGAUGCAGCAACGCCGCGUGAAGGAUGAAGGCCUUUGGGUCGUAAACUUCUGUCCUUGGGGAAGAAAAAAAUGACGGUACCCCUGGAGGAAGUCCCGGCUAACUACGUGCCAGCAGCCGCGGUAAUACGUAGGGGGCAAGCGUUGUCCGGAAUCACUGGGCGUAAAGCGCGCGUAGGUGGUCUAGUAAGUCAGAUGUUAAAAUGCGGGGCUCAACCCCGUAAUGCAUUUGAAACUGCUGGACUUGAGGACAGGAGAGGAAAGUGGAAUUCCUAGUGUAGCGGUGAAAUGCGUAGAUAUUAGGAGGAACACCAGUGGCGAAGGCGACUUUCUGGACUGUACCUGACACUGAGGUGCGAAAGCGUGGGGAGCAAACAGGAUUAGAUACCCUGGUAGUCCACGCCGUAAACGAUGGGUACUAGGUGUAGGGGGUUUAGAUACCUUCUGUGCCGCAGUUAACGCAUUAAGUACCCCGCCUGGGGAGUACGAUCGCAAGAUUGAAACUCAAAGGAAUUGACGGGGGCCCGCACAAGCAGCGGAGCAUGUGGUUUAAUUCGAAGCAACGCGAAGAACCUUACCAGGACUUGACAUCCUCUGAAGCUAUUAGAGAUAAUAGUGUCCCUUCGGGGCAGAGAGACAGGUGGUGCAUGGUUGUCGUCAGCUCGUGUCGUGAGAUGUUGGGUUAAGUCCCGCAACGAGCGCAACCCUUAUCCUUAGUUGCCAGCAAGUAAUGUUGGGCACUCUAGGGAGACUGCCGGUGAUAAACCGGAGGAAGGUGGGGAUGACGUCAAAUCAUCAUGCCCCUUAUGUCCUGGGCUACACACGUGCUACAAUGGCCUGAACAACGGGAAGCUAAGGAGUGAUCUGGAGCAAAUCCCUAAAAACAGGUCUCAGUUCGGAUUGUAGGCUGCAACUCGCCUACAUGAAGUCGGAGUUGCUAGUAAUCGUGGAUCAGAAUGUCACGGUGAAUGCGUUCCCGGGCCUUGUACACACCGCCCGUCACACCACGAAAGUUUACAACACCCGAAGCCGGUGGGCUAACC